AAGGUAACUGUCAAGUGAAUCCUUAAGUAUUUGAGAAAUAAUAAAGGAUGGAUUCCUCAAGAAUGAGGAAGAAUUAUAGUAACGUAAUGAAAGCGUACAUGUAUUAUAUUAUGAAUCUAAUCCAUCAUUGGAUGUUUCUUCAUUAUGAAUGAAGAGAUAAUCAAAUAUCUCUUUAUUAUGACUAAAGAGAUAUUUGGAUGGAAACAUUAAAAGUAAUGACUUUAGUGUGUUCCAUUGUGAAUGCAAAAAUAUUGCCAUAUAGAAGCUUACAACAAUGUUGUUUGGAUGAGAAAGUUCAUUCAUGAACUCUCUAUUCAGUUCCAACCAGAAAGUGUCUCCAGUGUACCGACACUAUGACACUAAUGGGGCGAUUGCUCAAGCCAGGGAAUCAAGGUCUCAUCAUGAUCUGAACUCAAAUGAGAGACUAAACCACAUGAUUAAGAAUCAUGUAUAAUGGUGACGUCGUUAUUCUCAAGGUUGCUUCUAUGGAUAACAUAUAGAUAUCCAUUGUCUAGGGCUACUACUCAGCCAUUUUUAAAAUGACUAUAGAGAGGUAUCAUCAUUGAUGACCAAGCUGAUUGGCUCUAGUGCAAGUGGGAGAUUGUUGGAAAUGUGCCCUAAAACCAAGCAUAUGAUGAUACUUUACGGACAUUUCACAUGUUAAACUAAUAUAGUUUAAUUUAAAGGGAAAAGAUUAUUGUUUGAAGCCAUCUCAUAUAAAUGUUGUACGCUUAAACGAUAAGUCCAAGGAAUAUGUAAUUGGGAGAAUGCGCUCUAAAGAAGUAAGAUUCAUGAGACCAUUCUCUUCCGUAUACACAUCCUAAACAUUCCUGAUCAUAAGAUUGCCAAUUCGGCAUUAACAGUCUGUUAAGAUCAGUAUGUGUUAUGUCUUCUCUUAGGGAAAGUGACUGGUCUCGAGUCAUUGAUGUGACUGACACCAAGACAUGCAUGUAGGUGCUCAAUAGAGAAUAAGUCCACUGAACACGAUCGACAAGGAGUUCUCAUACUCAUGUCACAUGAGAACUCAUGGUUGGGAUAAUGCAAAGUAGUCCUUUAACCUGAGGCAUUAUAGUUGUCUUGUGGUUAGGUCUUUGAUCUUCGACUAUGUCAAAGUCACUCCGUCAGAGGGUGUCCACGGCAUAGUUGGGGUUAAGCCACUUAGCCAUGGAGGCAAGUGAAUCACAUUGGAUAGUAGACAUGAAUAAACUAUCAAACCCAACAAUGUGGUCAAAAGUAUUGUAUUAGAGAAAGACCUAUUGCAUUGUAAUCCUAAACUGAAUAGGUUCUCCACCUCUUCUGAUUAGCAUGGGUAACCAUGACAUACUGCUAGGUGUCACUCAUAUUUUGUGGAGCCCUAAACGUGUAUAAUCACUAAAGGGAGAAUUGAAA
rnacentral:lncRNA from 1 species